CUCAUUUUAUUUUACUUGUUUAUUUAUUUUAUGGCAUUGGGGAUUGAACCCAGGGUUUCCCACACACUAGACAAAUGCUUUACCACUGAGCUAUACAACCAGCUCCUUAUUCUCACACAUGUAGCAGCGCUUGUCUUACCCAGUAUCUCCAGGAUAGGGCAGGCUUGGGAGGGAUGAUGCUGCCCGAGUUGUGGUGUAGGGAUCCUACGGAAGCGGCCAAGUCCAAAAAGGAAAAGACUGCGCAGGAAACAGGAAGCUCUAGGCUUCCCCAGGGCACGCCCAGAUUACCCAGGGCUCAGGCCCCCUUGUGACCGUUUUCCCCAGACACCUGAGGAAUAAGAAAGGGCUGGUGCCCUAGUCUAGCUGCAAGGCAGCCAAACAGUGCCGGCAGCUGAGUCCCUAAGUGCAGCCUGUGCGACAGGAAUCACCGAAGACCAGGUUCCCAGGGAGCUGUGUGAGCUGCAGGCCUGCCCAGGCCCUGCCACACGAUAAAAGCCUGCAUUCCACUCGGCUCCUUAUCGGAAGAACAUUCCUGACUCCCAGGGUCAGAACCAGGAGACUCGCUGACAGACUAGGCUCUGCUGACAGCACGCAGAGACAGCCCUGGGCUCAGGACCCUCCCGGACUUUUCUUCUGGAGUGGAAUUCUGAGGCUUCCUCUGAGUUUCCGGCACUGGACGGAAAGGGGCCUCCGCCCAUGAUUUCCCAGGCUGAGCCCUCCAGCCACUGGCGGUGCUAAGAAACACCUGUCACUUCACAGGAUGAACGUCAGGUGAGGUGCCUUAUUCUCCAUCAGCCCUUGCAUUCAGUCACGGGUCAAAUUGUGUGGCUUCUCCCUUCAAAUGGCUUUCCUUCUCAUCUUUUCUUCAUUGCUCACCCAUG
rnacentral:lncRNA from 1 species